AGAACGAACGCUGGCGGCAUGCCUAAUACAUGCAAGUCGAACGAAGGCUUCGGCCUUAGUGGCGCACGGGUGCGUAACGCGUGGGAAUCUGCCCCUUGGUUCGGAAUAACAGUUGGAAACGACUGCUAAUACCGGAUGAUGACGAAAGUCCAAAGAUUUAUCGCCAAGGGAUGAGCCCGCGUAGGAUUAGCUAGUUGGUGAGGUAAAGGCUCACCAAGGCGACGAUCCUUAGCUGGUCUGAGAGGAUGAUCAGCCACACUGGGACUGAGACACGGCCCAGACUCCUACGGGAGCAGCAGUAGGGAAUAGUUGGACAAGUGGGACGAAAACGUC
rnacentral:rRNA from 1 species